GGGGAAACCCUGACGCAGCAACGCCGCGUGGGUGAUGAAGGUCUUCGGAUUGUAAAGCCCUGUUUUCUGGGACGAUAAUGACGGUACCAGAGGAGGAAGCCACGGCUAACUACGUGCCAGCAGCCGCGGUAAUACGUAGGUGGCGAGCGUUGUCCGGAUUUACUGGGCGUAAAGGGUGCGUAGGCGGAUGUUUAAGUGGGAUGUGAAAUCCCCGGGCUUAACCUGGGGGCUGCAUUCCAAACUGGAUAUCUAGAGUGCAGGAGAGGAAAGCGGAAUUCCUAGUGUAGCGGUGAAAUGCGUAGAGAUUAGGAAGAACACCAGUGGCGAAGGCGGCUUUCUGGACUGUAACUGACGCUGAGGCACGAAAGCGUGGGUAGCAAACAGGAUUAGAUACCCUGGUAGUCCACGCCGUAAACGAUGGAUACUAGGUGUAGGGGGUAUCAACUCCCCCUGUGCCGCAGUUAACACAAUAAGUAUCCCGCCUGGGGAGUACGGUCGCAAGAUUAAAACUCAAAGGAAUUGACGGGGGCCCGCACAAGCAGCGGAGCAUGUGGUUUAAUUCGAAGCAACGCGAAGAACCUUACCUGGACUUGACAUCCCUUGCAUAGCCUAGAGAUAGGUGAAGCCCUUCGGGGCAAGGAGACAGGUGGUGCAUGGU
rnacentral:rRNA from 1 species